GAGGGCAUAGCUCAGUGGUAGAGCGCAUGCUUAGCAUGCAUGAGGCCCUCGGUUCAAUCCCUAGUCCUUCCA
rnacentral:tRNA from 1 species